rnacentral:rRNA from 1 species
GAUCAAGUGUCUUAAGGGC